rnacentral:misc_RNA from 1 species
AAACUCAAAGUUGUAUGCUUAAGACUCUGCCCCAAAAAUUUGAAGAUAAUAGUCUUAUAGUUUCUUUUCUUUUUUAAGAAAAGAGGAAAAACAAAUAUUGAGUCCAUUCUUAUAAUAAAUCGAAGGUCUAGCGGCUAAAAAUGAAUAAGCCCUAAAUUUGGGAGGAUUUUCAAUUAUGGUCCUUUUUUAUCAACUGUGUGAUCCAACGUUCACUUUUGAGUCAAUUUUGGCUGCUCUAGGAUCCCCAUGUCUGAGUGCACCAUUCAAUCCAGUGUCUACAGGCGCUGCUGUUGAUGUGGCAUGGGCUGGUGCGAGUAAGCACUGUUUGCACAACCCAUAGUUCCAGACCUUGGGAUCCCUGUCUGGCCAAAAAUUGAAACAAGACAGAAAAGAGUCCAAAAUUGAAAAUCCAACUAAAGAUUUGGAUUUUUGGGGGCUAGUAACUCGAGGAAAAGGAAGUAGUAGAAGCAUGCGUGAAGAAUAACUCCUCUUUCUCUCACAGAGAUAUAAUGUCUCUAUUAGGUACAAAUCUCUCCCAGGGGGGAGGAUGAGAUCUUUUUUAGUUCGUGGUAGGAUAUUUAUUAUGGUGUGUGUGUUUGAUUGCUCAUUGGUAAUAGACUUGUUCUUAAAAUUUGGGUUGUA